GGGAUUGCCUCAGUAACGGCGAGUGAAGCGGCAACAGCUCAAAUUUGAAAUCUGGCUCCUUCGGGGUCCGAGUUGUAAUUUGUAGAGAGUGCUUCGGGGGAGACUGCGGUCUAAGUCCAUUGGAACAUGGCGUCCUAGAGGGUGAGAAUCCCGUAUGUGACCGUGGCUCGAACCCAUGUGAAGCCUCUUCGACGAGUCGAGUUGUUUGGGAAUGCAGCUCAAAAUGGGUGGUAAAUUUCAUCUAAAGCUAAAUACUGGCUGGAGACCGAUAGCGCACAAGUAGAGUGAUCGAAAGAUGAAAAGCACUUUGGAAAGAGAGUUAAAAAGUACGUGAAAUUGUUGAAAGGGAAGCGCUGGCAACCAGACCUGCCCGUAGGCGAUCAGCCGCUGUUCUCAGCGGUGCACUCGCUCUGCGAUCAGGCCAGCAUCGGUUCCGGCGGUCGGAUAAAGGCCUUGGGAAUGUACCUUCCCUCCGGGGGAGUCUUAUAGCCCUCGGUGCAAUGCGGCCAGCCGGGACCGAGGACCGCGCUUCGGCUAGGAUGCUGGCGUAAUGGUUGUCAGCGACCCGUCUUGAAACACGGACCAAGGAGUCUAACAUCUAUGCGAGUGUUUGGGUGUUAAACCCAUGCGCGGAAUGAAAGUGAACGGAGGUGAGAACCCUUAAGGGCGCAUCAUCGACCGAUCCAGAUGUCUUCGGAUGGAUUUGAGUAUGAGCAUAGCUGUUGGGACCCGAAAGAUGGUGAACUAUGCCUGAAUAGGGUGAAGCCAGAGGAAACUCUGGUGGAGGCUCGCAGCGGUUCUGACGUGCAAAUCGAUCGUCAAAUUUGGGUAUAGGGGCGAAAGACUAAUC
rnacentral:rRNA from 1 species